GAUGAAGAACGUAGCGAAAUGCGAUACGUAAUGUGAAUUGCAGAAUUCAGUGAAUCAUCGAGUCUUUGAACGCACAUUGCGCCCUCUGGUAUUCCGGAGGGCAUGCCUGUCCGAGCGUCAUUGCUGCCCUCAAGCACGGCUUGUGUGUUGGGCCCCGUCCUCCUUCCGGGGGACGGGUCCGAAAGGCAGCGGCGGCACCGCGUCCGGUCCUCAAGCGUAUGGGGCUUUGUCACUCGCUUUGUAGGCCUGGCCGGCGCUUGCCGAUCAACCAAACUUUUUAUCAGGUUGACCUCGGAUCAGGUAGGGAUACCCGCUGAACUUAAGCAUAUCAAUAAGCGGAGGA
rnacentral:misc_RNA from 1 species